rnacentral:rRNA from 1 species
GACGAACGCUGGCGGCGUGCUUAACACAUGCAAGUCGAACGGCAAGGCCCUGCUUUUUUGGUGUGCUCGAGUGGCGAACGCGUGAGUAACACGUUAGUAUCCUGCCCUUCACUUUGGGAUAACUUCAGGAAACUGGGGCUAAUACCGUAUCGGAUCUCCUGCUGCAUGGUGGGGGUUGGAACGUUUCGGCGGUUGGGGAUGGACUCGCGGCUUAUCAGCUUGUUGGUGGGGUAGUGGCUUACCAAGGCUUUGACGGGUAGCCGGCCUGAGAGGGUGACCGGCGACAUGGGGACUGAGAGACGGCGCAGACUGCAACGGGAGGCAGUAGGGGGGAAUAUUGUACAAUGGGCCGGAGCCUGAGAAAGAAACGCCGGGUGCGGGAUGACGGCCUGCGGGGUAAAAACAGCUGUCGCCUGUGACGAAGCGGGAGUGACGGUAACGGGUAAAGAAGCACCGGCUAACUACGUG